rnacentral:rRNA from 1 species
GUCGACUCGAGUCUUCGGACUUGGGUGGCGCACGGGUGAGUAACGCGUAAAGAACUUGCCUCUUAGACCGGGACAACAUCUGGAAACGGAUGCUAAUACCGGAUAUUAUGGUUUUUUCGCAUGGAGGAAUCAUGAAAGCUAGAUGCGCUAAGAGAGAGCUUUGCGUCCCAUUAGCUAGUUGGUGAGGUAACGGCCCACCAAGGCAAUGAUGGGUAGCCGGCCUGAGAGGGUGAACGGCCACAAGGGGACUGAGACACGGCCCUUACUCCUACGGGAGGCAGCAGUGGGGAAUAUUGGACAAUGGACCACAAGUCUGAUCCAGCAAUUCUGUGUGCACGAUGACGUUUUUCGGAAUGUAAAGUGCUUUCAGUCGGGAAGAAGUCAGUGACGGUACCGACAGAAGAAGCGACGGCUAAAUACGUGCCAGCAGCCGCGGUAAUACGUAUGUCGCAAGCGUUAUCCGGAUUUAUUGGGCGUAAAGCGCGUCUAGGCGGCAAGGAAAGUCUGAUGUGAAAAUGCGGAGCUCAACUCCGUAUGGCGUUGGAAACUGCCUUACUAGAGUACUGGAGAGGUAGGCGGAACUACAAGUGUAGAGGUGAAAUUCGUAGAUAUUUGUAGGAAUGCCGAUGGGGAAGCCAGCCUACUGGACAGAUACUGACGCUAAAGCGCGAAAGCGUGGGUAGCAAACAGG